GGCGGGUUGCCCGAGAGGCCAAUGGGAUCUGACUGUAAAUCAGACGCGGAAUCGCUUCGGGAGUUCGAAUCUCUCACCCGCCACCA
rnacentral:tRNA from 1 species